CUUGCGGUCAUAUGUUGUUGAAACAACGGUUCCCCUGCCAUCAACGAAGUUAAGCAACGUUGAACCUGGUCAGUACUAAGAUGGGUGAGCGUUUGGAAAUGCCAGGU